rnacentral:snoRNA from 1 species
AAACCAUGAUGAGGGCAUUGAGCCCAAUAGCUCUUGAACCUCUCCCAUGCUUCACUGAAGCUCUCUAGACCUUUCUGUUGAAAACCAGAGAUUUCGUUCCUGAUCUU